AGCUCAGUAACACGUGGCUAACCUACCCUUGGGACGGGAACACCCCCGGGAAACCACGCACAGACCUUGACCACAUAAACACAAAUUCUCAAAAAAUCCAAAAACCCCAUAACAUAAACAAACACUUCACUACACCGCCUUGCCGAUUUCUAAGCUGGCAAAGGCUAUCUCAAACUAACCAAAACCUACACGCAACUUUCUAAGAAUAGAAACUUAAGGCUCUGGCGUAGCCCAAAACUGGGGUUAAUUCCCGAUGGGUGAGGAGGCCUGGAAUGGUUCUUCACUGAAAGGGCGCUAGAGGCAUGCUCUCUAACGUUGCCCAAGGAUGGGGCCGCGGCCGAUCAGGUUGUUGGUGAGGUAACGGCUUACCAAGCCUAUAACCGGUACGGGCCGUGAGAGCGGAAGCCCGGAGAUGGGCACUGAGAUAAGGGCCCAGGCCCUACGGGGCGCAGCAGUUGCGAAAACUCCGCAAUGCACGAAAGUGUGACGGGGCUACCCCGAGUGCCGUCCGCUGAGGAUGGCUUUUCUCCGCUGUAAGGAGGCGGAGGAAUAAGGAGAGGGCAAGACUGGUGUCAGCCGCCGCGGUAAUACCAGCUCUCCGAGUGGUAGGGGUGAUUAUUGGGCUUAAAGCGUCCGUAGCCGGCCUGGCAAGUCUUCCGUUAAAUCCAGCAACCUAAUUGUUGGGCUGCGGGGGAUACUGUUAGGCUUGGGGGCGGGAGAGGCCGACGGUAUUCUCGGGGUAGGGGUGAAAUCUUAUAAUCCCGGGAGGACCACCAGUGG
rnacentral:rRNA from 1 species